AAAAAGAGAGCGUUCGCGAGAGAGCCUUCGCUAGAGAGACUAGGGUAAGCAUUAAAGGUAUGUUUGUUCUGCCUGAACGAAUUUGAAGAUACAGUGAGCGUUGUUACAGUCUUACAGAGAGCGUUGUUACGGUGACCUAACUAGGGUUAACACAUACAAAUCAGAGUCCCCCGACUCAUUCAACACGGUCUCCCUUGUCUUCGUCCCCGAGCUUCAAGUUCCGCUCCAACAAAGACAACAGAUAUGAGAGGUGAUGAUGCACACUAUAUGACGCAACAACAAGAACGACAACAAUGGAAUAAGAAAUUAAUAUCCUUUUUUCUUAAUCUCCUGUAAGUGAACUCAAAUUCCUUUUCUUUACUGUUUUUUCUUAACCUGUUUGAAGUUAGUCCUUUAUUCAGAUACGGAGGUUAUUGAAUAUGAUGUAGCUUGUGUGAUAAAGUUAUCGCAGAACCGUGGACAACACACUUAUUAUGCCCUGUUUUCAGGCCCCCUGUGGUUCAUCCCAAAAACCAGUUGGAGAUGUUACAUGUCCUCCCUCCUAAAGGUGAAACCUUUCUUUUGUCUCUCCCCACAGACAGAAUUGGAGAAUAUGCUAUCUUCCUCGAACUGGGGAUGAGAUGCACUAUAUGACGCAGCAGUAACAACAACCAGUUUGAAGUCAAAUCUUUUAUUCAGCUGUGGAGGCCAUGUGGAUCAUCCCAAAACCAGUUGGAGUUGUCACAUGUCCUCCAAAAGGUGAAACUUUCUGUCUCGAAUCUCCACACGCAGAAUGGUUCACUUUCUUCAUUGAAUCGGGGAUGAUGCACUUUAUGACACAGCAACAACAAGGAUGGAAUGGAAAUUUAAUAUCCUUUUUCGUAAUCUCAUAUGUGUGUGGAGUUACUGACUACCAGCUUGUGUAACGUCAUCAUAGAGCCGUGGACAAACACACUUAUCUUCUGGUUUAAUUGAAGUGUUCAUAUGGUCUUAGUCUUGAUGGUCAACUAAGUCAACGGUUCUCUUCUCCAUCGAGACAUGUAUGUAUGAAGCCAGAACUUAGAAGAGAUUGUGUCUAAUACAUGUUCACCUUCUUGCUUCCUCAACCAGCAAUCCCAGCUUCUCUCCUUCUCCCUCCUCCACGCUGAGACGAGACAUAUGGAGUUUGGUGAAAUCGAAGACUGCUUUUGGAUUUGUGAUGUUCUGUUGUUGUGAUGUUUGAUGAGAGUCAUGCCUGGAACCAAUUCAAAGCUGCCACUGAUAUCUUAGCCAAGAAAAAUGAUUGACCUCCAUUGAAAACGAACAAGGUGCAUCUUGCUAGUGGAAGAUACAUAACACAAGGAGCCAAGUGAAUGUUUGUUCUGUUGAUUUGUGGACUCGAGGAAGGAGGCUUCUUGCAGAGACAAACUCAAAAGGCCAAACUCAAAGAGCAAUCCCAUCUUCUAUCUUUCUCCUCCACGCUGAGACGAGACCUAUGGAGUUUGGUGUAACCGAAGACUGUUGUUGGCCAUGGAAGAUACACAUUCACAAGGAGCCAAUCGAGAUGUUUGUUCUGUUAACGGGUGGAUUCGAGGAGGCUUCUUGCAGAUCAAAUUAGUGGCCAAGGUUGUACAGGAUCAUGAGCUAGUGAAGUUGUGAUGGCUGCAGGAGGAGUAUCUGAGCUAUGCUUUGCUAAAACAGGUCUUAAAGAGAAAGCAAAGACAACCAAACCCUAGAAGACCUCUUCCUAUACAAUUAAACUUGGUGAUAUUAUAUUUACUUGGAUGUUUGAGAUUCAUGCCUUGAAAAGCCAUUCAAAGUUGCCGCUGAUAUCUUGGCCAAGAAAGAUGAUUGACCUUCAUUGGAUGAUAGUUGCUACAUUGAAAACUGACAAGGUGUGGGUUGGCCUUGGAAGAUACAUAACACAAGGAGCCAAGUGAAGAGGUUUGUUCUGUUGACUGGUGGACUCGAGAAAAGAGGCUGCUUACAGAGCCACUCAAAGGCUAAGGUCCGUGAAUAGAGUUCCUUGUACUCAAAGCUGAAGUCAACGGUGCUCUUCUCCAUCGAGACAUGUAUGUAUGAAGCCAGAACUUAGGAGAGAUUGUGUCCGCUACAUGUUCACCUUCUUGCUUCCUCAACCAGCAAUCCCAGCUCCUCUCUUUCUCCCUCCUCCACGCUCAGACGAGACCUAUGGAGUUUGGUGAAACCAAAGACUAUUGUUGGCCAUUGAAGAUACACAUAUCACAAGGACCCAAGUGAAUAGCUAGCCCAUAUGUUUCUUCUGUUGAAUGGUAGAUGAUUCGAGGAGGCUGCUUGCUUGCAAAUCAAACUCAAUGACCAAGAUUUUACAUGAUGAUAAGCUAGUGAAGUUGUGAUGGCUGCAGGAGAAGUAUCUGAACCCUUGUAUCAGAGCGUGUUGUUGGCUUGUUGCUUCUCUAGGAUGAAGAAUAUGCUUUCUUCACAGAAUGAGGGAUGAUGCGUGCACACUAUGACGCAACAACAACAAAGAUGGAAUGUAAUAUUAAUAUCCUUUUCCUUAAUCUCUCUUGUGUGGUAAAAGUUAUCGCAGAAACGUGGACAACACAAUUUUUCCUGCCUUAUGGAUCAUCAUCCCAAACCCAGUUGGAGAGGUUACAUGUCCUCCUAAAGUUUAAAUAAACUGAGUUUGGAAUGUUUCUUGAAGGUGUGUGUGGAGCCUGGAAGGAGAUGAAUGGCUACCAACUCUCGUGUUAGCUAAAUCGUUCCAAAAAGUAAAUGUAUCAGAUCCUCUCUCCCUCAAUCCAGCUUCUCUCUUUCUCCUCUACGCUGAGACGAGACCUAUGGGAGUUUGGCUAAAACCGAAGACUAUUGUUGACCAUGGAAGAUACACAUAUUAGAAGGACCCGAGUGAGAUUUCCA